rnacentral:rRNA from 1 species
CCGCACAAGCGGUGGAGCAUGUGGUUUAAUUCGACGCAACGCGAAGAACCUUACCUGGGCUUGACAUCCCCUGACCGCGUAUGAAAGUACGUUUUCACCCUCGGGUGACAGGGAGACAGGUGGUGCAUGGUUGUCGUCAGCUCGUGUCGUGAGAUGUUGGGUUAAGUCCCGCAACGAGCGCAACCCCUACGUUUAGUUGCUAACGCGUGAAGGCGAGCACUCUAGACGAACUGCCGUUGACAAAACGGAGGAAGGUGGGAUGACGUCAAAUCAUCAUGCCCCUUAUGUUCUGGGCUACACACGUGCUACAAUGGCCGGUACAGACGGACGCAAAGCCGCGAGGUGGAGCAAAUCCUAAAAAGCCGGUCUCAGUUCGGAUUGCAGGCUGCAAUUCGCCUGCAUGAAGUCGGAAUCGCUAGUAAUCGCAGGUCAGCAUACUGCGGUGAAUACGUUCCCGGGCCUU